rnacentral:rRNA from 1 species
CUAAGUGAGCUACUUUAAAGCAGCUAUUAGAGCUAACCCGUCUCUGUCGCAAAAGAGUGGGGUGACUUUAAAGUAGAGGUGAUAGACCUACCGAACUUAGAGAUAGCUGGUUUUUUAAGAAAAGAAUUUUAGUUCAGCCCCAAGCCUUUCGUUAAGCAAAAAACCUUCUUAGGCCUGGGAGUCAUUCAUAUAGGGCACAGCCUAUUUGAAACAGGAUACAACCUAGAAUAUAGGGUAAAACAAUGUGAUUUUUCUAUAAGUGGGCUUGAAAGCAGCCACCUUUCAAAAAGCGUUGUAGCUUAUUGAUACUGAUUAUUUAAUAACCUCAAAAAUGUUUAACCCACACACACUAUUAAACUAUCCCAUAAAUUUAUGGGAGCUAUCAUGCUAGAACAAGUAACAAGAAAAAGAUUUUUCUCCAAAAUACAAGCUUUAGCCGCUACAGACAAACUACCGGCA